UAAAAACAAAAAGAGAAACGGUAGCAUCCUCUAUCAGUUCCAGUCUCUCUGUCUGAUAGGGAUCCCUGACCCCUCCUCAAUCUGGGGUUCAGUCCCCACUCCCACCACUGUUACUUCAGCCUUAAAGCAAGAACCCGGAAUAUCCCUCCUGUCCAGGAGAGGAAGAGGUGUGGUGGGGAGGGCUGUUUGGUGGAGAAGGAUGUGUCUGUUGGGAUGUGGUGAGAGGCAGGGAGAGUGUGCGUAAACACAGAAGUGUGUGUGUGUGUGUGUGUGUGUGAGAGAGAGAGAGAGAGAGAAAGCAAUGACAUGAUGACUUUGCUUUUGGAAUCAACAACUAGGCCAUGGUGUGCAGGCAAGUGUGUUUCUUUGUAUGGGCAGGGGCAUGUGGGGAUGUGUGUGUGCAUGCGUACACAUGCUCAAGUGUGGCCCAAUGUGCCUGGGGUAACAGAGUGGUGGGAUGGAGAUAAGAAUGCUUUUCUCUUAGGAAAUGGGAGGAGGGAUGAGGAGGAAGACAGAGGAGCCAGUGGCAGUGCAGGGUCUCUGGAAGAGUGGCUUCACCCUAGCCGGGCAGCAUCACCUCCGCCAUCAAAUGCUCCCUGCCUGGCCAUCGGCCCACAUGUUCAAUUAGCAAACAAGCAAACGUUUAUAAUUGUGUCUUAGGUGCCAGCCUUAGGGAACACAGAGAUGAGAGACUGGUCCCUGCUCUUGGGGGAUCCCCCCAAUCUAUCAUGCUCGCUCUGUCAUCCUUCAAGGUCUGACUCACAAGCAUCUGCUCUAGAGGCCUUCCCUGAUUGCUGCCUCUACCCACUCCACACCCC
rnacentral:lncRNA from 10 species